rnacentral:tRNA from 1 species
GCCGCGGUAGCUCAGCUGGGAGAGCGUUAGACUGAAGCUGAGUAAGCAUCAUGCCUGCUCGGUAGCAAUCUACAGGUCACCUGUUCAAGCCAGGUUCGUGGCA